UUCGUUCUUCCGCCAGGACCAGGAGAAGGUGCUCGGCCGCUGUUCGACCCGUCACUACUCUGAGAACUCGAUGUUGGAAGGUACUUCCUCUUGAGCUUUUUCAACCUCCCAUCUGCCUUGUUUCUUCCAUCAGCGGAUGGUGUCUGCCUACUGUCCGACAGUUGGCGGCUCUGAGAAGCUAAAGUCAAUGGUGGACUGCCAUCCCUAUUGACUGGUUUGCCAUCUCUGGCAUUCUGUGAAGAUUUCUCUUCGAUAGGCAAUCCUGUAAGUUAGCACCAGCUAUUCAGGACCCUUCACUAAAUGGUGAUCUGAAUGAAAUCUUGUACUGAUUUGGCAAGCUUUAGGAUGAACAAAACAAAGGCUUAAGAGGAGGAAAUGAAGUAGAUCUUUUGAUCAAAUUAAUUUACUUGUAAUUAGCAGUUUAAAUGCAUCAAAAUUACAAAAUCAUACAUAUAGGGUUCUGACAACAUAGGACCUAAACCACACAAUCACUGGACUUUCUUGAUCAGACAGGCAAAUUUCGCCGCAAUGACUAGAACUUAGGCAAUACUGAUGUCAAUUAAGCUGGCCAAUGAUAUUAAUUACCAAUUAGGCUACAUUCUUAGCUAUAACUAAUCAAGUACAUAUGUUUACAUGAACUAAAAAAGCAUGUUUUCCUUCUCAUACGAUGCAGACAUAAAAUGUGCAAGCCUUGAAGAAGAUUUUCACCAGAAAAACGAGCAACAUCAAUGAUCAGGUGAGAUAGAACCAGCAGUAGCUCCUCUCUAUUGAAAAUCAGAUGCAAGGGGGCCAAAGAAGAUACCUGAAAUUGCUGCUUGGACAACAACGUCAUCUGGCUUUGAAGAAUCAGUGACAUUAAGGUUGCAAUCAGCAUCCCUAUGCUCUACAUGCUCUCCACUUUCAACUUCUGAUUCCAGCAUCGCGACCAGAUAAUCAAAGAUUUCAUCUGACAACAUGGUCAUGCAGCUUGAAUUAUCCGACUGGGAAGAUGGAGAUUGUGGAAUGCCAAGGUCCAGCAAUUCUAAGUAGUCACCAGGAUC
rnacentral:lncRNA from 1 species